UCACCUUCUAGCUAGCGUUAGCUUUAAUGAUAGCAACACGGCCAGACCAAUCAGCCACCAUUACCAUGCUAACAUAUAGCAGGCUAGCUAUGUCGGCUAGCUCAUAACACAUUAGCGGACGUUACGCUAACCCGAGCGUAGUCGUUGAUUUGGUCAUUGGGUUAAUCUAUCGCCCCUUGUUUUUGGAAGCUAAUGUCAGUGUUAGGUAACUACGCAGCUAGCUAAGUUAGCAAGAUAGUGUUAAACAUCAGCAGGGGCUUGAUACCGUGUUAGGAUCUUAUCCAGCUCAGUCAUGCAACGCAACAUGUACGUUAAGGUUACAACGCCGUUGUAUACUGUGCAAACCUUAUCACAGACCACGGCUUCAUUCAUAACAACAAGUACAUACUAGUCGCGUUGUUAAUAAGUGACGUUAGCGUUAAACAUGGAUUAUGCUUACCCCUGAAGCCAGCUUUACGUCGGUACGUAUCAAACAAUGGAAGAAGAAGCACCGUCUGUCGGUGCGCGGUCUCUCGGCUGUGAGGAUGCCUCUGUGUUUGUCUUGUGUGUCGGGCUCCGGCUGUUGAACAUUGGCUGCCGUCAACUCCUUGGAGUACCUUAUUGGACACUCGCUGUCUCAGUCCUGCUUGUUGCAAGUAGUACAGUUGGUUGUCCAAAACACGACGGGGCGGUGGCGCUAAACUUGAAUGUCGAAUAGCCAGCGCCUGGGAAAGAUUUAACGUAACGUUAUGCAAGUAUAUUCAAAUUGAGGUGCAAGCCAUCAAUAAAGUGAACAGUCACCUGCAAAUGGAAAGGUUUUCAUUACACCGAAAACAACUACUGUAGCGCAAGGUACCGAAACAGUGGUCACCAAUGGCAACCGAAGAAGGAAAACAGUGGUGGGAUCCAUAUGAAACAUCUCAUAGAAGACAAUUUGUCUACUGUCCAAACUCAGCUGCAGAGAUUCUGUUGUGCCCAACGUCAACUUCAUUUAUAGGCUCCAAUUCACAGUCUAGACCUUUUGGUUCAACUGUGUACAAUAAGGAUUUUUGCUGGAAGCCAGCCUGCAAACCUGAAUGCAUUCGCACAGGAACCGCCUCAGGGCACAGAAGAAACAACCCGCAUCCCAGUCAGUCUUUCAUCAUGUGGAGGCUGCCUAGGGACGCCACACAAAGCUCUGAGUAUGUCAGCUUUCCUUGGAAAUGUCCCCCAUCUGAGGAGGAGAUCUGUAAGGCCUUGACAGCACAGUACAGCUCCAUCUACAGAUGUGACUACAUGGGUAUGCCUCAAGCUCAUUUUCCUUUUGUUGUGGAACUUCUUUGACAGGACGUGUUCAUAUUAAACAAGCAGAAAGAAGACUUACACCUCUGCACAGCAGGCGUGAAAUGCCGCUUUCUACUGAUACAGAGAUGAGGGACAAUUACCGCCAGCCAAAGCAAAAACCUGAACUGCUGGACAACUACUCUCACUACAGCUGCAGCACACAUCCUAACAUGGCCUGUCGUGGUAUAGUUCCAACUGUUGUGCAAAGGCACACUCAGCAGAAAAGAUCCGAUUUGGCCAACUACGACUGUGGAAAGAGAGUCACUGAUGUCACAUGUGUGAUAAAGUCUCUGCUGCCCCAGGAGCUGCAGCAAUUACACAGAAUUUUACCUGAGGAGGAAAAGGAGACUGUAAGAACAGUUUUGAGUAAAGAUGUGUACCCAAACAACAAUGAGAAAGUGUGUAAACUCCCAGCGGUUGGGCUGAAGUCCUGCUCACCAGAGAGGAUAUCAAGCUGGCCAGGACCUCUCUGAACCUCAUCGCUUAUAUUAGUUGUUUCUUUAUCUGUCUUUGUAUUUUGUGUGUUUUUAUGUAAUUUAUUUUCAUGGUAGGGGUAAAACUGUAAUAAAUAACAUGACAUAAUAUAACCAAUAUACAUAAAAAUUAACAGUGUCUUGCAGAAUUAGAUUGCCGUCAUUUUUGUGUGGAACUUGUGUGUUGUGAUAAUUAAACA